rnacentral:rRNA from 1 species
AAUAUUGCACAAUGGGGGAAACCCUGAUGCAGCGACUCCGCGUGAGCGAAGCAGGCCUUCGGGUCGUAAAGCCCUUUCCUAAGGGAAGAAACGGACGGAACCUUAGCAUGAUGCGCCGGCUAACAAAGUUCCAGCAGCCGCGGUAAUCCGUAGGGGGCGAGCGUUAUCCGGAAUUACUGGGCGUAAAGGGUGCGUAGGCGGCCUUUUAAGUCAGAUGUGAAAGGCUACGGCUUAACCGUAGUUAGGAUUUGAAACUAAGAGGCUUGGGUGCAGGAGAGGUGAGUGGAAUUCCUAGUGUAAGAGUGAAAUGCGUAGAUAUUAGGAGAAACACCAGUGGGGAAGGCGACUCUCUGGACUGCAACUGACGCUGAGGCACGAAAGCGUGGGGAGCGAA